AGAGUUUGAUCCUGGCUCAGAAUCAACGCUGGCGGCGUGCCUCAGACAUGCAAGUCGAACGCGAAAGUUCCCUUCGGGGGGCGAGUAGAGUGGCGCACGGGUGAGUAACACGUAGGUAAUCUACCUUCGGAUGGGGAAUAACAACCGGAAACGGUUGCUAAUACCGCAUAAUGCAGCGGCACCUAAUGGUGACAGUUGUUAAAGCGGGGGAUCGUAAGACCUCGCGUCUGGAGAGGAGCCUGCGGCGGAUUAGCUAGUUGGUAAGGUAACGGCUUACCAAGGCGACGACCUGUAGCCGGCCUGAGAGGGCGGUCGGCCACACUGACACUGACAUACGGGUCAGACUCCUACGGGAGGCAGCAGUCGGGAAUUUUGGGCAAUGGGCGAAAGCCUGACCCAGCAACGCCGCGUGAAGGAUGAAAUCCUUCGGGAUGUAAACUUCGCAAGAACGGGAAGAAUAAGCCGGUAUUAACACCACCGGUGAUGACGGUACUGUUUGUAAGCUCCGGCUAACUCCGUGCCAGCCGCCGCGGUAAUAC
rnacentral:rRNA from 1 species